rnacentral:lncRNA from 1 species
GCACCUUUACAAAAUAAGUAUGAGGACUUAUUCGGGACACUACGGCUUGCCUUGUUCGCCCUUUGGGUGACUUACCCCUGACCUUCGGCUUCUUGCCUUUGGCAUAACUCCAACUUACUCUCCAACUGCACUGCGCCAAUCUUCCCCUUCCCCCUGCCAUAGAAACCUCUCACUGCCUCGUUACCCAGUGUUACCUAAGCGGGAAAUCUAACAGUAGCCGGAUACUACUGGCGGAAAACGUGCAUAUGCCCUGCAUACGCGACGGUGUGUCCCUAAUAUCAUUGCGGUCUGGACGUGAUUCUAUAGAAGUGCACCUCGUCUCACACAAUCAUGCUAGUAAACAUUACACCAUGGGAGGCGGCGAAGCAAGCCGUCUGCCUCAACAUGCCCGGUAUCGAUAUUCGGUGGCGUAGUAAUUGGCUUGAACUCGUAAUCGCAUCACUCUCGACUCCGCUAGUUAGCGGUUCGUAAUUCUGAGACCACUGUACCUCGUGUCCCAUCUGUACAUCUCACCUCGAACCUUAAUUAUGCAAGACUGCUCCCACCUAACCCUUGCGCGCUGAUUCGUCGUUUGGCCGCGACCCGCUGCCCUACUAACAGCUGCCCGACCUGCCAUCUGGUGGCUAGCGGCCUGAACCGUGGGCCGUCGAUCUGUCGUCGGCCGGACCGCCGCGUUAUGACUUCCGCUCGGCACUGACCGGCGAGGCGUCGCCGUCCAUGAACUCAACGAUACGACGGCUAAUGAGGUGGCAUUAAUAAAUUCUACCACGCGCUGAACGGUUGCGGGUUGUCCUGACAAGCUAUCAAGUGUAUUGGAUUAGAGUUAGACUGUUGGCGUUGCAUAAUGUUGCCUUAGAAUUGCGGACCCGAAUUAGUACCCGGGAAUUCGGUCGACAGCUCCCGUCAGCCCCUUAGCUCUCCGUAUAAGGGAAUAACCGGCGAAAGGGGUAGCCCCGUUGUUCCCAGAGUCGAGCAGCACCCCUCCAUUAGAGGUGCAAAUCGUCGGCGGCCGUUCUGUUAGAUUAAGCACAAUUCUGCGCGGGCUAUGAUCCUUUCCUGAUGGUUAACCCAAUUUGGUCACGCGUGUAGGUCCGAUCAGUACCCUAGAAACCUAUGUAACCUGCCGUCCUCACCCAGUUAUCCACACCCGGGGUAUGGUUCUGACGGAGUUGCAUCUCAAGUCAUUAGGCUCCGCGAAUCACCGUGCGGCGCCCCAGGCGGUAUUUAAAGGCUCCGGCACGCCCGCGGCAUAUUGUCAUCAUGUCUACCACGUCUGUGGAGGUUGUUUCGGAGGCAAGUCGGCCCGAGAGCCCGCCGGGGUCCGCGGCCGAGGUACCCCGAGAAUUGUACAACGAGAUCGUCCGCUUAAAGGACGACCUCCACGCGGCUGAGGGAAAGUUGGAGGUCGCCCGCCGGGACCUGGAGCGGGCCCACCGAAAAAACAAAGCCGUAGUCGCGAGGCUGCGGAAAAUAAUCUAUGCCACCCAGACCGCACCGAGCUACGCCCGGCCGGGGUGGCUCGACCAAGAAAUAGAGUGGGCCUUAUUGGAGCUCUCUUGAGCCCUCAGAUGCAACGACGCAGGACACCUCCGAAUUCAUCUCGCCGUCGCGAUGAAUGGUGGUUCUGUAGUGUGUGAACAAAUUCUGGCUCGCUGUCUGUAAAUACAUGUGCCAUUUUGUACCAAUUCGUCUGUUAAGUACGCUAUCACCAAUGUAAAGGGUUUCUUUCAACGGAGACACGAUCCGGCGGGUUCCGAAUCCUGCAGAAGGCAUGGCGAUCAGACGACUGAGUGAGAGAACUAGUGACGUGUGUCCUA